GACGGAGGAUGCAAGCGUUAUCCGGAAUGAUUGGGCGUAAAGCGUCCGCAGGUGGCAGUUCAAGUCUGCUGUCAAAGACCGGGGCUUAACUUCGGAAAGGCAGUGGAAACUGAACAGCUAGAGUAUGGUAGGGGCAGAGGGAAUUCCUGGUGUAGCGGUGAAAUGCGUAGAGAUCAGGAAGAACAUCGGUGGCGAAGGCGCUCUGCUGGACCCGAUCUGACGCUGAGGCGCGAAAGCCAGGGGAGCGAACGGG
rnacentral:rRNA from 1 species